GUUUCAAGAGUCUCAGCAAUACGAGCAAUGCACAUAGACAAAACUUAGUAAACACUAAAACUGCAGCCAGACAUCUCAAUCCCCAACACAGAACAAAUCAUUUCUUCUUGGCAGCCGCCUUGGUGACCUUGGCGCCGGUUGGGUCCUUCUUCUCCACACCCUUGAUGACACCAACAGCAACUGUUUGUCUCAUGUCACGCACAGCAAAACGACCAAGAGGAGGGUACAUGGCGAAGGUCUCCACAACCAUGGGCUUGGUGGGAAUCAUCUUCACGAUACCAGCAUCACCGUUCUUCAAGAACUUGGGCUCCUUCUCCAGCUCCUUACCAGAUCGCCUGUCGAUCUUGGUCACCAGCUCGGCAAACUUCACAGCAAUGUGGGAGGUGUGGCAGUCCAGCACUGGGGCGUAGCCGUUGCCAAUCUGACCAGGGUGGUUCAUGAUGAUGACCUGGGAGGUGAAGUUGGCAGCCUCCUUGGCAGGGUCAUCCUUGGAGUUGGAUGCAACAAACCCACGCUUGAGAUCCUUCACAGCAACGUUCUUGACGUUGAAGCCAACAUUGUCACCAGGAAGGGCCUCCUG
rnacentral:lncRNA from 1 species